AUCCAAUGAGCUGGGUACGAGUGCAGCACCAUUUUCAUAAAUCAAGCAACUGGAAUAGAUUUUAAUACAGAAUUGUAUUACUGCAGGAAUGCCAGGCAUGCAGGCUCGGAGCACUAACACUUCUAUUAGUUGAAUGCAAGCCAAUCCUUUAGCUGUAAGCACAUUAAAAGGAAAAUGAUUCCCCUGCUACAUUUCGGGGGUCUCCGAUGCCAAAAAUCCUCCCUGGAGUAACUCACAACUUUUUUCCCUGAGUUGUCCUUGUCUCAGGGGUGUUACAACUGGUCAGUCACACUCUGAGGGAUAUGUUUUACAGCAGAUAUUAAAUCCCACUGAGCUGUUCUCCUCUCUCUGACAUCCUUGGAGUAAAAAUAAAGUCAUGGAGCAGUAGAACAUCAAGGUUCAGUGCUGGAAGACACUAUCAGCUCCCACAAAGGCUUUCUAUUCCUUCCAGGACCUAUAUUUAUAUUUGCUGAUGACUCCUUGUCAAUCUGACACUUGCUAAUCAACCUUUGAUGAUAAUUGUAAUUCUUGCUGAGGACACUUCAUCCCAGGAGGUCAAAAGGACAUUUUGUACACUGAGAUGCACUCUGUGCUUGUGUGUGACUGAAUCCAUGGGCAUGUGUUUAUAUUUACAAGAGAUGUUUAUGCUAACACUUCUCUUUUUUGGGGGUAAAUUUUUUAUCAUUCUCCUUUCCCUCAUUUGCUGCUGUCUUUUUGCAUCUAUGAAAUGUUGCUCAUUGCUAAAUCAUCACCAGAAUUUCAAAGGGAGGGGUGAACUUGCUGCUCAAAACAGAGGGGAAAACGCAAGAAAAUUUUAAAGAUGCUUUAGUAAAAAACUUGGUAAAUAUUCAGCUCUUAAAAAAAAAAAAAAAAAAGAGAAGGGUUUUUGUGAAAUCAAUUGAUAACAUCUUCAUCUAAAUCAAUUUAUUAUCUCCUGUUUGAAAAGCACUUAGCUCAACAGGGCUUUGUGCCUUCACUGAGGUUUCCAGGUACCAUCAGAUCAAGAACCUUAAGUUAAGCACGGAUAAAACAUAACAAUGUUUGUUAUUUUCUCCCUCCAAAAAGAAAGCAAAUAACUUGAGGCAUCUGACACUGAUGGUGCAGACUAAGCCAAUUGGGAGGCUUUUCAUUUCAUAUUUUGGCACUGAAUUUUAUGCCUUUUUUUUUGAGUCCUUUUUGCCUUGACAUUCCACAGGUUUUGGAUGUGUUGGGCUAACCCCAGCCUAGAUCCCUGCGAAUAAUCAGAUUUUGGGCUUGCUGGAUUUGUCCUGUGGGUUCCCAGCAUUAGGAAUUCGACCAAAGGAUGGGUUUCUAUUUGUCUGUGCGUUUCUUUGGAGCACAGAGUGCUGUCCCAAGGACAGCGGCACGGAUCUGCUGCCAGGAGGCACAAAGAGCUGGGCAUAGGGGGCUGAGCUGCCGCAGGGCACUGCCCCUGCGUGCCCACUUUGAUUGCCCUGGGGUGCCAGCCUCGGAGCGAGCACGGAGGAAUAAUCUGCAGGAUAAUCCCUUCCUGCAGGAAUCUCAGCAUCACCUCAGUGGCUGGUACCCAGAGACUGCUCCUGGCUCAAGAACUGACCUCAAUCAGAGAGCAGGAAAGCAAAUUAUCUCCCUGCUUCCACAGUUUGCUCCCGAAGGACUCCAGAACCUUGCAUAAACAAAAACUAAUUAUAAUACACACACACACGGACAAAAAAUUUAGUAAAAAACUCAAAAGCUCUGCUCGUGGGCUGAACAAAAAAAGGGAGCUGGGAGAGUGAAUGUCACAGUGCCAUCUACUGACGCCAGCCCCGAGCCUGGAGGGAGAACACCCAACUGCAGGGGGAAAAAAAAAAUAUAAAUAAAUAAGGCUGGGAGUGUUGGAAGGAUUAUGUUUAAAGGAAGGAGAUGACUGCUAAUUAAUGUGACAAGAGAGAAAGCCUCACCUACUGACAGGUUAUUCAUCCCACAAGUGUUAGGAUCCUCCUCAGCGCUGCCUGCUCCUGUGAUUCCUGCAGAAAGGAACAGCUGACCAGAACCCUCAGUGCCAGCUCCCAUCUCUCUGUUUUGUCCUGAUGAGCUUUACACCAGAGGAGAAUUACAGCCUGCUCUGUGGCGAGCAAUUUGGAGGCAUAAAGGAAUGCAAUUGUGGAAUAAAACCCGCUCUGUGUGCUGUGAGAUAACUUCACCUGCCACAGAAAAUGAGCGGUGACUCGGAGGCAGGUCAGCAGAUUAGUGCCAUCAGCUCUGAAAGGUUCUCAGCCCUUCCUUUGGAUCAUCUAGCAGGCUCAAAAUGAACAUGUGGAGUGCAAGCAUGAUCUGCUUUGGGGGGAGCUGUCCUGAAAAGCAAAAGCAACGGAAAAAAUGAUUCUGAGCACUGGGUUUGAGGAUGGUGUUGGAGGAGGGAUGGUUCCAGAAGGGACCAUGGCUGUGGCUGUGCCUCCAUGGACAGCAGGGUCUGGAUGAGGGGCCCUGUGUGACAUUGAUCCCAAAAGUAACACACAGAGCGAGCCUUGGCUUGGAGGAGGGCCAGCGAGUGAAUCCCAGCUUGGUGCUCCUUUUCCUGCUCCCAUUCUCUUUUUCCUUGCUUUGCUCCCACUCUUGGUGCUCCUUUUCUUCCUCUCAUUCUCUUCUUCCUUGCUUUGCUCCCAUUAUCUCCUUCAUUUGUUUUGAAGUGAAUUCCAGCUUGGUGCUGCUUUUCCUGCUCCCAUUCUCUUUUUCCUUGCUUUGCUCCCAUUCUUGGUGCUCGUUUUCUUCCUCUCAUUUUCUUCUUCCUGGCUUUGCUGCCAUUCCCUCCUUCCCUUGUUUUUGAGUGAAUUCCAGCUUGGUGCUCCUUUUCUCGCUCCCAUUCUCUCCUUCUCACUGGCUUUGCAAGUGAAUUCCAGCUUGGUGCUCCUUCUCUUCCUCUCAUUCUCUUCUUGCUUUACUUCAUUUAAGGAUUUUAACGAGAGCCCAGACCUGUCUCAAGCAUUUUGCUUUUGCACAGCACCUGGGACAGGCUCCCACUGGAUGUCACAGCACCCUGCCAAGGGCUCUGCUCUCGUGUUUUUCCAGCUGACCCAGAGAUUUCAAACAGCAGUUUCGUUUUUCCUCUUUUAAUUUAAUUGGAGGAUGUAAAAAGAGGCUUUUGACUUUUACUGGUGGAACCUGAGGAGGACUGAAGCAGUUUAAACUCGACAGACCUCAAUGGUGCAGGGCACCCUUCUAAACUUUUGUUUGCCUCCAGUGAGCUGCUGAAGAGAGCAGGGAAACAAGGGAAGAAAAGGGAAAAAAAAGAAAAAAAAAGAAAAAAGGCAGCUUUCAGUUACUAAACCCCCUCGUGGCAUUGAAUUCUAACCAAGUACAUCCAGCCCUGCCAGCCAGAAAUGCCAAAAGGAGGAAAGCUGCUGAAUCAGAGGAGAAUCAGGAUUGGGAGGAUGGUGGGGAAUAUGAGAGUAGCGCUAGGCAAACAAAAUGGUGAGCGCGCCUUGGGCUACGUUUUCAGCGUGUUUUCUUGGGAGAUCAAAGCUUAAAUCCCAUUAACCCUUCACAUGUCAGCCUGGUCAGCCUUCAUUACCCUCCUGGCAAGUGGCUGAAUGAUGCUUUCUUGGCCAGCAGAGCCAUUUUGGAGCAAAUUAAGAUUUGUUGGGUGCUUGUUAAAGACCUUUUGGACAUCAGAAUCCCAGAAUGGUUUGUGUUGGGAAGGACCCCAAAGAUCCUCUCAUUCCAAAGAACCUCACCUUCCACUGGAGCUGCCAACAGAUUGAAAAGUUCCUGGGAUUAAAAGGCAUCCCAGCAACACCUUCCACUGGGAACAGAUUGAAAAGUUCCUGGGAUGACAAGGCCAUGGAGGUGGCUCGCAGAAAAUGUGACCUGGAUCCAAAUGGCCACUGAGAGCUGAGCCCCAAAGCUCCUCAGACAGCAAAAGAUGGAGAAAAAAGUCAAAUUUAACCUUCCACAGAUUGUCCUGACACAGGAAACAUUUCUAGGUUUAUCCUGAAACCAAAGCAUUUGUGAUGGGUAAAUUAUUUCAUUUCUCUCUGUGCUUUUUGCAACACUGGAUCCUUACUCCAACAAGGUAAAAAAUGUUAUCAUUUUUCCUCUAGUCACAUAAAAACCAUCUGAGACAGAAUUUCUUCUUCAGGCACCUUGAGAGCUCUCUGGAAGCCAGUACAAUUUUAUAUUUCCCUAUAAACGCCAAUUAGGUUGGACUCCAUAUGCUGAGAGAGACAUUUUGGCUUUCUGCUGCCUUGCCCAGCAGCCUGGCACUCGCUGAAAUAAAUCACAGCUCUUUUCGGAGCUGGACGUGGCCAGAGGUGGACGCAGAGGAGCUGAACACGAUGAUCUCAGAAGAAAUGCUCUGAAUUAAGCAGGAGGUUGCUAAGCCACCAGACUGCUGCAGUCUCCAACCAAAGUUACAGCGCUGAGUCCUUGCACAAAAUGGGGUUUUCCAAGGGAAACAAAAGUCUGCAAGGACACAACCUGAGCUGGGCAUGGCUGGAAAAACUCCUGAAGUCAUCCAGGAUUUCAUCUUGCAUCUCUUACAGCAAAACCAAAGAGCCUCCCUUGCCCCAAAAUCUGGAGCCUGAGACUGAAGUCUGCCUGAUUCCCUGAUUAUUUUUGUUUAUGUGGACAUUAAAAUAAAAAUAAUGUUUCAUUUCCCCCAUUUUUCAUUGUCUGCCCCAGUUUUCCCCCAAGGAAUGCUCAGCACAUAUCCCAGAUCAUCAUUCUGAGGGCUGAGACUGGAUGGGCUUUAAGAUCCCUUCCAACCCAAGCCAUUCUGGGAUUUUAGGAUCUUUCUAGAAAGUUUUUCCCACCUCUUCAGCAGGCAGAGAGGGUUAAUUUGGCCUUUCCCUGGACCUAGCAGGGCAGCACCUGCUAGCAGGGGUGGGGUGUUCCCUUGCACAGCUUGUCAGAGGCAAAUCAUUAUUAUUAUUAUUAUUAUUAUUAUUAUUAUUAUUAUUAUUAUU